AGUGAACGCUGGCGGCGUGCUUAACACAUGCAAGUCGAACGAGAACGGGUUAUAGCUUGCUAUAAUUGUCAGCUAAGUGGCGCACGGGUGAGUAAUGUAUAGGUAAUAUGCCUUUUACUAAGGGAUAACAAAUGGAAACGUUUGCUAAUACCUUAUACUCCUUAUUAACAGAAGUUAAUAAGGGAAAGAUUUAUUGGUAAGAGAUUAGCCUGUAUUGUAUCAGUUAGUUGGUGGGGUAAUGGCUUACCAAGACUAUGACACAUAACUGGUUUGAGAGGAUGAUCAGUCACACUGGAACUGAGACACGGUCCAGACUCCUACGGGAGACAGCAGUGGGGAAUAUUGCACAAUGGACGAAAGUCUGAUGCAGCAACGCCGCGUGGAGGAUGACACAUUUCGGUGCGUAAACUCCUUUUAUAUGAGAAGAUAAUGACGGUAUUAUAUGAAUAAGCACCGGCUAACUCCGUGCCAGCAGCCGCCGUAA
rnacentral:rRNA from 1 species